rnacentral:lncRNA from 1 species
AACCGCGGUGGCUGGGCCUUUCUUCCUGUGUCCCAGGGAGCUGCCCCGCGGCACUAUGUGGCUGCUCGGUAAGUGUCCCCUGGCGCAGGCCAGGCUGGGAUUCCGCCGAAUGUAACUCAGCUGCCAAAAGAGGCCGGGCUGUGUGUAUCUCCGCUGUUCCCCGGGGACGUCCCUGUCCUCGGCCACCGGACAGGCAGGAGGUGGAAGCGUCCUGGCCCAGGUGCCUGCUGGGCCCUGGGACCUGGCUGGGGACUCAGGCUCACCGCGAUCGCCGACCCCCAGGCGCCCAGGAUGAGGGGCCCGGGACCCCGCGGCUCCACCCAGCCAGAGCCUGUCCCCGGGUCCCCAGGGGGGCCCCAGAAGCACCCGCCACCAGGGACAGCGUGACCAGCCUGGCUUUGUGUGGCUCUUUGUAUUGGAGGCGGGGACUGCGGGGCGGGCGGCCGUGAGCGGGCCCCGGUGGCCAGUGCAGCGUCCACAGCCGCCGCGGACACCAGGAGGGAGCAUGGUCAAGUUCAAGGCCAUCUGUCUGGAGUACUGGCAGCUGCUCUGCCUGCAGCCCCUGCCCGGCUACCAGAGGUGAGUGGACGCAGGGACUGUGGCCCCGGGACAUUGGGCCAGCACAGUCUGCUCCGCCACAGGACGCCCUCUGUCCCUUCCUGACACUGGGGGGCUCUGCCCCACAGGAGGGCAGCCACACAGGUG